UGCAAGUCGUACGAGAACACCCUAGCUUGCUAGGGUAAGUAAAGUGGCGCACGGGUGAGUAACGCGUGGGUAAUCUACCUUCGAAUUGGGGAUAACGUUGCGAAAGCGACGCUAAUACCGAAUAACAUCCAUUAAUCUUCGGGUUUUUGGAUCAAGGGUGGCCUCUACAUGUAAGCUACUGUUUGAAGAUGAGCCCGCGUACCAUUAGCUUGUUGGUGGGGUAAUGGCCUACCAAGGCAGCGAUGGUUAGCUGGUCUGAGAGGAUGAUCAGCCACACUGGAACUGACACACGGUCCAGACUCCUACGGGAGGCAGCAGUGAGGAAUUUUGCGCAAUGGGGGAAACCCUGACGCAGCAACGCCGCGUGAGUGAUGAAGGCUUUCGGGUCGUAAAGCUCUGUCAAGUGGGAAGAACCUGCAGUAUGCUAAUAUCAUAUUGCACUGACGGUACCACUGAAGGAAGCACCGGCUAACUCCGUG
rnacentral:rRNA from 1 species